ACUUAACUAACAAUCACAAAAUCAACCAUUUCAGUUAUUCUCAUAAACAUAUAAUUUCAUCUCACGUAAUGCAAAUAAUCUCAAACUCAACCAAGUCAAAUAAUUCAAUUCCACAUUAUUUCUAUCAAAUUAGGAUCAGAUGACUCAUCCUUACAUUUCCUCACAUUUUUAAAUUUCAGUAACCACUUGACAAGACUAUCCGCCCGGCUCAGUCUUGCCAUCUCACAUACUCGGGUAGCUAUCCUCCCGGCUCAGCUUUUCCGAUCACACAAUAUCCAUACAAAAGUCAUCAAUCCUUAAUCACAAUCAUUUCACUUCACAACACAUCACAAUCAAUUCACUUCACAACACAUCACAAUCAAUUCACUUUCAAGCCAAAAACAUAACUAAUAUCAACUCAGUCAACCAAAAAAUUAUCAAGUAAUCAAACAGCAGUCCCUACUCAAUAUACACAAAGUUUAGUCUAUUAAAUACUUACCAGAAGUUAUAGGAUAACAAAGUAAUCCUAUUCUUUUUCUCUUACCACUUCCUUGCCUUUGGAUGAACCUAUUCACA
rnacentral:lncRNA from 1 species